AAGGCUUCCAGGGGGAGUUCCGACAGGGAACUGAGAGGCCGGCUCGAACGCCCGGCGACCCCACGAACCUGAUCCAGUUCGCACUGGCGUAGGGAUGGAGUGACCCGCUCCU
rnacentral:ncRNA from 2 species